UAGAUACAAUCAUGAAUUAAG
rnacentral:piRNA from 1 species